UUGCUUCAGUAGCACAUAUGCUAAAAUAAGAACAAUACAGAGAAAAUUACCAUGGCCCCUGUCUAAGGAUAAAAUGCAAGUUGUGAACGGCUCCACAUUUUU
ensembl:snRNA U6 U6 spliceosomal RNA